AACACCACCUUAACUUCUUUUCUCACUUCAUUGAGCGAUCUCCAUCACCCCUGCUACACCUCUCUCUCCUUACCUCUCUUAUUACUGCUUACUUAUUACUAGUUACUUUUUAUUCCUUUCUUUUAUUAUCUCGUUCUUUUUUCUGUACCUUUUCUUUCUCGGAGACCGGAGUUGUUUCCACUAUGUACGCUGAAUUCAUCUCACUUAAUGAAUAAAGCAGGUAGCUUGCUACCUAUUUUCUUAAAAAAAAACUUCUUUUCUCACUUGAGCAGGGGCGG
rnacentral:lncRNA from 1 species